AUGGAUGUUUUCUUAUGCAUAUACAUGAGUCAGAGCAGAUACAUGCUUAGCAGUUCAUAUUCAUUAGGUCUCUUGCCACUGGCUGCAAAACUUUUCGGAGCCAUUUCCUUGAUGAAAAAUCAUUUUGAGAAGCGAGUUGUUCUUCUUUGUGGUUCAACCCCAUGCCUGAGAUUUGGAAUAAUGCAGGACCAGUUUGCCAUCACUGCCAAAGCACUCAAUAGAGCGUUCCAACUUCCUGGUCUGCUGAAGGUGCAAAGGACUGAUAUAAAUAGACAACUGUCCAGAGACCAGAAGUUGAAGGAACUUGUUGAUGAAAUCAAUGAGUCCUUGGAUCCUUGGUGUUCGCUCUACAGCCCACUUCUUUGUUUUCAUUUUAGAGGUGUCUCCCACAGCCUUCAGCAGGAUGUCAAUUUUUUUUGUUGUUGGUAUCGCCGGCAGGUUCCUCUGUCCCCGGGGAAACUCCAGUCCAAGAAGGGGGCUCUGGUGUGGCUGUUUCUGGGGAGAGUUCCGGAAGUCCUUCGCUGCCAGAGGCCGCAGCUGACAGAGGAAGCUGCAACACAGACUCAGGCUCCUCCGCCAUCUUGCCUGGAACGCCCGAGGCCGGAAGUGGCAGUUUAGUCUGUGCAGAGGCUUAUAACCCUGAUGAGGAAGAAGAAGAUACUGAUCUGCGGGUAAGAAUUAAAGAAUUAAAGAAAAAGUGUUAUGUAGAAUUGUAUUUUAUACUGAUUCUCUCUCUACACAGCAAAUUCUAAUCAUACUGGUAAUUAAGAUAAAUACAAAUCAACAAUUAUAGCAAGGGCUUUUUUUUUUUUACAGUACUAGGGAUUUACCCCAAGUACCACCCCAAUUCUUUUUGAGAUGAGGUCCUGCCAAGUUGCCCAGUCAGAGCUCAAAGUUUCAGUUUUCCUGACUCAGCCUCCCAGAGUGCUGGGAUUACAAAAAAUAUGCUGUACGUUACCUAACAGAUUGAGACUAGCACUGUUAAAGGGUAUGGAGAGAAGGAAUAUCUAGCUAUAGCUAUCAGAAGCCUCAAACAGUCACAUCAAUAGCUCAGCGGUCACCCAAGGGAGAAUUCACUCUAAGGAGCCUUCCCAAGGAUGUACAGUGGAGAUCAUUGCAGUGUUGUACUUGCUUUUUUUUUGGUACCAGGGAUCAAACUUAGGACCUUGGGCUUUCGAGGCAAGCGUGGUGCCACUGAGCUAAAUCCAUGGCUGCAGUGUUCUAAUAGUGAAAAUCUGAACAACCUAAAUGUCCCUAAAUAAGGCAUUACUAGGGGCUAAAUUAUGGUACAUUCAAAUCAAGACAAUCUGCAGCCCUUGAAAAUGAUUGUAUAAGACAGACUUACAUAGUGACAAACAAAAUAUGUAUGAAGUACAUUUUAUGGGACAGUUUGAAAAUUUUUAAUGUAUUAGUUGUAGUAUAUACAGAGAAUUGUAUCUGGGAGGAUAUAUAUACCUCAUGUGUGCUGCAGACCAGCUGCAGUCAAUGUAGGGUAGGAAGGGGAGAUGUCCUGGGCCGGCGAUGAGAAAAGAACCUUCACAAGCAAUGUUCAGAUUCCCUCUGAGAAGUCUCAGGGUCUGAUUUAUUUUUAUACCUUUAAGCAAUAGCUGGGAGGCAUUGGGCGGAACAUGUUUACAUUUUAAGUUGCCUUAGCAAUUUCUCUUGAAGUAAAGGUUAUUUUUUGCUAAACAAAGUACAGUUCCUCUAAGCUGUUUCAUUUCAUUGAACAUCACGAAUACAUAUUUAAAAAUUACAUUUGUCCCCUUAUUUACCUACACCUAAACAGAACAGAAAGUAACAAUCAAAAUCUUUAUAUCAGCGGGGGUACAAGCAAGAUUUAAUCAACUAAGUGUCAAACUUGUGGUCACCAGCUGGCCCUUGAGAAACUGUACAGUGGUUAAUAUAGUUUGCUAUUAGCUCUCUAUUUUUUUUUUUACCUCUAUUCAUCUUAACUAAAUGUCAUUUGGGUUCAUAGUCCAUGAGCAGGAGAUAUUUACAGGACUUUGAGAAAUAUUGAGUAACUUGUCUCCUUAAUGCAUUUACCUUUCUUAACAUUCUUUCUGUUUCCCAUUUUCCACUAUUUCUUACAUCUAAAGUCUGUCCUUCCAAUCUCUUCGUAAGACCCCUUUAGUAAAAAGAAUGUCAGCAAUAAGAGGGGGAGUUAUAGUAGUGGGGAAGCAGAGGGGGUUUUAGGAGAAGUUUCUUUAGAAGUGGAUGUGGCAAUAGAACUAAGAGAAACUGGAAUUUGGGACUUGUGAGCCAGAUCAGAUUUCAAUAUAUCAUUACCAAUUUGCCUCAUGGAGAGUUUGUUGUUGGUCACAAACACAAUGACUCCUGUGAUCAGAGUAACAAUUAUAAACAUUAUGGCAAGAAAAAAUAAAACAUGAGGGUACGAUGUGUUCCACCCUUUCUUUCCCCCAGCUGGAACUUUGUCAAGCAGCAGUGGAGGUCGGUUGGGCUUCGCCACAUGUGGUAUGUCCAGCCUCGGUCAGCAGGCCACACAAAAUUCUGGACAGCUAGUAACGUGACCUCCCCCGUCAUAGACUUGUAACCUCAUUAGAUGAUCUUUAGUGAUGUUUUUCAUGUUCUCGUUGCCUGGUGCUGGGGCAUGAACGUGUAGGCAGCAACAGUGCCUUGUAUAGGGCGGCAUGGUGUGGUGCGGCCACCACACGUGUCAAGUCAGAUCCUGCAUAUGUCAGACAUUACCUGUGCUUACCUCAGAGAUCGCUGAUAGUAGUGUUCCAACCCACCAUUACAUCUGUGCCUCUGAAGACAGGUGUUUAUUGUUGUUAAACAGACUCGUAAGUUUUCUUAUUUAAUUAUUAAACUUGGGCUUGUGUUAUUUUAUAAAAUAAAUUAAUUAAAAUAUUUUUAGCAACUGCGUUAAUAGGAAGCACAAAAAUAUAUCACAUGGUUUUUUGUCCCUGACAUUGUUUUAAUUACAACAUUGUUUAUAUCAGAAAUACAAAUGGUUGCUUAUUAAUUUUUGGAAUGUAUAAAGUUGCAGUCAAACAUUCAACUCAAAGAAAAAUUUAAUCAUGUCUCUUUUUUCUUGUCUUCUUCUUGUCUUUUUUGGUAACGGGUAUCAAACUCGGGACAUUGUGCCUGCAAGGCAGGCGGCGGAACCAGUGAGCUAAAUCCCUGGCCCUCAUGUCUCUUUUACUACUAGAAUUUUUCUUUUUUUUGGUUCUGGGGAUUGAACUCGGGACCUUGUGCUUGCCAGGCAGGCAGUUUGCCACUGAUUAGAAUUUUAUAAAUCCUGUCUUCCCAGAGAAAAAUGUCCUUCACCUCAUAAUCAUAGCUUGUUCAUGUCAGUGCUUUUUGGCAGAAUGUACAUUUGUGAAUGUUUCUGAGGCAUAUGAAGAGUACACUUAGAGCAAAUAUUUCUCACGAGCACCUUGAAAACUCAUUAGGAAUUGCAACUACUUUCACUGAAUCAGACAUGCAUUAGUUUCAUAAGGAAAGAUAAAAUAUUCCACUAGUUUUAUGUCCAUUGCCCUUUUUUUAAUCUCAUAAUAAUAGAAUAAAGGAAGUUUUGUUGCACUGACUACAUUGUAUAUUUCAUAUAUGGCCCAAGACAAUUCCUCUUUACUCAGUGCAGCCCAGAUGAGCUGAAAGGUUGAACACCCAUGCCUUAAAUGUUAACAGUGCUUAUGGUAGGACUGAAUUAUUUUCAUAAAAGCAAAUGUAGCUGUGGGUGGUAGCGCAUGCCUGAAAUUCCACCACUAGGGAGGCUGAAGCAGGAGGAUUGCUGCGAGUUUGAAGCUAGCCUGAACUAUAUAGCAAGACCCUCCGGUGGUCGUUUCACGUCCCUGUUCGGGCGCCAGUUGUGGGGGUCUCCUCGAAGAGAGACGGGGGCUUGAAGACUGUGUGAGAUGAGAAAAAAGAAAAGAGGGACAUGGGGGACCCAGAGCCCUGUGAGACUAAGGGUAUUUAUUCUUUGACGUGAGUACACUUUAUACUGUUCUCAACAGGCAGAUAAGCAAGGAACCAGACGCAGCUGCAAGGCUAAAAAUGGUUGCUGGGAACCGAUCAUGCUUUAGGCAAAUAUUUUAAAAACACUGCGGCCUUGCUAAUGAUUUAUAGAUAGGCUCCCUCAUGCUUUCUCAGGCAGCAGAGUGUCUCAAGGGCCUGUGUGCCCUCCGCCCUAAUUCUCAGCAUGCUGAUCCGAGGGAACUGUAGUUUCCUUGUCCUGGCAUGCCAAGGACCUGGGAAUCAGACACGUGAUCAUCAGGAGGAGAACAGCACGUCCCGAGACAACCUCUCACAAUAUCAAUUAAUAGCUUAACAUGAACUCCCGAUUAUUUCUCUUUAAAUAGUCUUCUUCUGGGAGUCUUUCUCAGCUUAAUUCAUGGCCGCUCCAUCAUUCAGUUGCUUGGGACCAAAACUUUGUAGUAACUCUCAACUCUUUUCAUUUUUUAAAAAUACCAACUUCCAGUUUUUCAGUAAAUCCAAUGGGUUCUGUCUCCAAAACAUCCAGAAUUCUGUACUUCUGACAUCUCUGUGGCUGCCAUCUUGGUCCAAACCACCACCAUGUGGCACUAUAGCUUCCACUUAGGCACAGAUUUUUCAAAAUACUAGUCAUAUUUCUUCCUUAGUUGCUACCUUCAGAUUACCCCAUAUUACUAGAGAAAAGUUCCAGCUCUAUGACCUAGAAUGCCCUGUUAUGAUUUGCCAUCCCUUUAACUGUAACC
rnacentral:lncRNA from 1 species